rnacentral:rRNA from 1 species
GUCUAUGACCAUACCACCUGAAUGUGCCUGAUCUCACCUGCUCUCAGAAGCUAAGUGGGGUCAGGCUUGGUUACUAUUUGGAUGGGAGAGUUGAAGGGCAGCCUGGGCUAUAUAAU